UUCACAUGGUUUUGCCGUAACAAAAUGAACAAGGACGACGUGUUUUGCGCAAAUCUGCCUACGAAGCGUCACGUUCUUAAAUUCAUAUUUCUCAGCAAUACGCCUUCCUUUUGUCGUAUAUAUCCUAGCAUUAUAUCUUUCAUUUGAUGUUUUUUGGAAUGAGACUCCUUGUGGGCAAUUGGUGGUGUAGAUGGAUCCAUGACAAAUAAAGAUUGGUACAAAGACCUGUUGUCUUCAACAUGUGUGUUUGAUGAUAAAUUUUCUUUGCUCGCAAAUUUUCUCCAAUGAGUUUUGUUGUUAUAGAUAGAUGCUUUUAUAUCAUGAAUCUCUUGCAAAUUCAGGUCACAUAAAUUUUUUCCCCAUUACAAAGGUAAGACAAUGAUGAUAGAUAUUUCCUUAUCCCAUACAACUGACUAAUAGUGAAGAUGGCAACUGUACACCGUAGGUUCCAAAACUCAAGUGCCAAUCAAAAACAAGGUAAUCCCAUAGGAACACAGCUGACCAUCACCAAUGCAGACUCAUCAGAUAGCGGAAGCUACUCGUGCAUGUCGGCUAACACACACGGUCAAGUAACACGUGCUGUUCAACUAACUGUUACAAAAUCAUCUUUUAGGAGAGAAACGACACGAAAGAACGAGAUGGUAAAAACUGGCCUGUUUCCAAGGGCUGUAGAUCAGUGCCCCGCAGGUAAAUUUAGUUCGAAUGGGUUGGGUUCCCUCUGUCGAGUCUGCCCAAAAAUACUUACCAGGACCAACCGGGAGAGACUGCGUGUAAAAACUGUGAGCAUGGGGCCAAGACUUUGCAAUUAGCUGCGACGUCCGCAGUGGCAUGUGGCGUUUCUCCGUUGAUAACAAGCGUAAACUCCAGUGUAAACACGAGCAGUCUAGAGGCUGUGCUCGACUGCUACGCGCACGAAUCACCAACGCCACUUAUUGAUUGGAAUUUUCUGGAGGACGUCCCAAGUGACUUCCUUAGCAUUCCAAAGCUCGUGCAGUUGGUGAACAGCAAAGGAAAACCGAAUGGUACUCGCAUAGUUAUAAGGAAAGUCACAAAACACAACACAUGUCGGUACGAGUGUACAGCGGUCAACCAGUUUGGCCAGGACAAGGAAAUCCUUGAAUUGAAAGUGCAGUUAUGGUGAUAUUCGCCAUUGCUGGGAGAUUUGAAGAUGCCAGACUAAGUUCUUUUGAUGCCAGCAUAUUUGGAUAGUUGUGUAACUUCUCUUGAGUAAAA